GAUGAACGCUAGCUACAGGCUUAACACAUGCAAGUCGCGGGGCAGCAUGGGGGUUGCUUGCAAUCCCCGAUGGCGACCGGCGCACGGGUGAGUAACGCGUAUCCAACCUGCCCUUCACCACGGGAUAACCCGGCGAAAGUCGGACUAAUACCGUAUGUUGUCCAUUGACGGCAUCCGAUUUGGACGAAAGGUUUGGCGGGGAAGGAUGGGGAUGCGUCCGAUUAGCUGGACGGCGGGGUGACGGCCCACCGUGGCGACGAUCGGUAGGGGUUCUGAGAGGAAGGUCCCCCACACUGGAACUGAGACACGGUCCAGACUCCUACGGGAGGCAGCAGUGAGGAAUAUUGGGCAAUGGGCGUAAGCCUGAACCAGCCAAGUAGCGUGCAGGAGGACGGCCCUAUGGGUUGUAAACUGCCUUUAUGCGGGGAUAAAGUGGCCCACGUGUGGGUUUUUGCAGGUACCGCAUGAAUAAGGACCGGCUAAUUCCGUG
rnacentral:rRNA from 1 species